rnacentral:lncRNA from 13 species
UUGUCCAGUGGUAGAGAGGAGCGAUAGAGUGAUAGACCUGGGAGGCCUCUGCAGUACUGAGGAGAUGAUGAGAUUGAAGAGGGAAAAGAAUCAUUGUUUAUUAAACUUUUGUAGUGCGUUUCAGUACAAUCUCAAAGCACGUUAAGCAACAACAACAAAAUAAGACAUGCUGAUGCCAUUUUGAAAAACAAAUAGUUCCCUUUGGAGAUGAAAUGGUUGGUGAGGGGGGUAGAGGAAGGAGAGAGAGAGAGAGAGAGAGAGAGAGAGAGAGAGAGAGAGAAAAUAAAAGAGAGAGAGAGAGAAUAAGAGAGAGAAUAAGAGAGAGAGAGAAUAAGAGAGAAUAAGAGAGAGAGAAUAAGAGAGAGAGAGAGAGAGAAAGGGAAAGGGGACACCUAGUCAUUUCUACAACUGAAUGCAUUCAACUGAAAUGUGUCUUCGGAAUUUAACCCAACCGCUCUGAAUCAGAGAAGUGCGGGGGGCUGCCUUAAUUGACAUCCACGUCAUCGGCGCCCAGGGAACAGUGGGUCAACUGCCUAGCUUAGGGGCAGGAUGACAGAUUUUUACCUUGUCAGCUGAUAGAGAGAGAGAGAGACAGAGAGAGAGACAGGGAGAGAGAGAGAGAGACAGAGAGACUCUAAACUACUGAGAGGUGUUCAGCCAUUGAGAGCAGGAGAAUUGGCAUCAUGACGCUUGAAGCUACAGUCACGUUCUCGUCUUGGCAAACUAUCCUAAACUAUUCUACUACUCCAGCUAUCUCAACUACAACCGUGGAGGAAUGUCAAAGUGGACUGGAUAGGAUCCGGAAGGAAUGACAGUUCUAUGACCUCAAAGAACAUGUUGAGAUCGUCAUCAUGUUGACUGGUAUUCUAGCCAACGCUGCUCUGCUGUGGCAGCAGCUGAAGGAUGGGAAGGUUCUGUCUGCAUCUAAGGUGUUGGUGGUAAUCUCCUGUCUACCCGCUCAGAACCCCCAGAUAGAGACUGUCCCCAUGAGAUGAGAUGUGCUGUCCAUUCCCAUUCAACAUCCAUGAUGCUCUUCAGCCCCUCUCAGCCCCAUUCAGUCCCAGUCAGUUCCCUGCCUUACGGUCCCCUUUGAAAUGACCUUAUCUCUGUCUUCCAGGCUGACCCUGGCUAGAGGGCCUUUUCCACAUUAAACAGAGAGAACCUAUUAUCCUACUGUUACUGGAGACAGUCAGUCUGUCAAUCAAACACAGGCCAUGGACCAUCAUGAGACAGUCUGGUUUGCUAACUGUACUCUCUAAGCCUUUCUCAGUGGUAGCAUGUGACAUGUGUAUGUAACAGAUGUGAAACGGCUAGCUUAGUUAGCGUGGGCGCUAAAUAGCGUUUCAAUCAGUGACGUCACUUGCUCUGAGACCUUGAAGUAGUAGUUCCCCUUGCUCUGCAAGGGCCGCGGCUUUUGUGGCGCGAUGGGUAACGA